CCUACGGGCGGCAGCAGUCGAGAAUCAUUCACAAUGGAGGAAACCCUGAUGGUGCGACGCCGCGUGGGGGAAUGAAGGUCUUCGGAUUGUAAACCCCUGUCAUGUGGGAGCAAAUUAAAACGAGAGUACCACAAGAUGAAGAGACGGCUAACUCGGUGCCAGCAGCCGCGGUAAUACAGAGGUCUCAAGCGUUGUUCGGAAUCACUGGGCGUAAAGCGUGCGUAGGCUGUUUCGUAAGUCGUGUGUGAAAGGCGCGGGCUCAACCCGCGGACGGCACAUGAUACUGGGAGACUAGAGUAAUGGAGGGGGAACCGGAAUUCUCGGUGUAGCAGUGAAAUGCGUAGAUAUCGCGAGGAACACUGGUGGCGAAGGCGGGUCCCUGGACAUUAACUGACGCUGAGGCACGAAGGCCAGGGGAGCGAAAAGGAUUAGAUACCCGAGUAGUC
rnacentral:rRNA from 1 species